AGAGAUCUGGGAUGCUCUGAGGGUUGCCGCAGAGUCCGAUCUAGCCCUUGCCCAAACCAUCGUGGACAGUGCUGGAAUCAUCGUCUCGAACCCUGACAUGACGCUCUGCUACGACGAGAGAGACUCCAAGUACGAGCUGCCCAAGUAUGUCUUGAGCGAGCCAGCGAACCUGAUCCGCGACGGGUGAUUCUGGACCCCCAAAAGGUUUUGCAGCAGCACGAAACAGGGCCACGUGAAUUUAUGUGGAUGGUUGAUUCGGUCGCUGGUUCUGGAUUGUAACUUUCAGGGACGCUGAAAGCUUGUUUCAGCGCUGUAUGUUGUAUAGUGAUGUUAUUGGACACGAUGUGUAGUCUCUAGACCUGCUACUGCUGAACUCGGUCAUUCAGGGACAGUGAAUGCAGUGUCGUUUAGGCUAA